rnacentral:tRNA from 10 species
GAUUUGCGCUGGGUUUUGGAACCAGCAAUUGGCCACAGGCACACACACCCCCAAUCAGAGGCGCGCACCCCGCUCGCUCCCGGAACUGUCAUGCGGGCUGACAGCUGGCACACCCUCCUGUCGCCCUCCACCCGCCUGCAGAAAGCCCACUCCCUACAGUCACCUUGACAUUGCUCACCUGCCUGGGCCUCAGCCCAUGACCAAGGAAACUUUUGCCCUCCCUCCCCAGGAGCUCACUUACAGGCCAUCUUCAAAGGUACUGCCUACCUGAACCUGCCUUGUCCCAAAGGACACACUUCAAUCUGGGGAGAGUUUAAAGUUGUAGACAUAUCCAUUUUCAUUUAAGGAAUAUGAAGAUCAGGGAGGCAAAAUAUAGAGAUAUAGAGAGGAAAAACUGAGAGAUGAUCAGAAAUUCAGACGCAUUCGGAAUGAGCACCCUUGACCAUACCAAGAACAAAGACUCUAUAAAAAUGUGAAGUCUUAUUAUUGUUCAUCCAUGUUCUACGUGGGAUCCACCCAAGACAUUGAAAACUGUACAGAACAGGGUGAAAUUGAAUCAGAUCAUUCUGUACUCCUAACAAGGUCCACCCCAUGAGAGACUUGCAGCAGAAUUAAUGACACUGUAUAUUUUCCUCUACUAACAACAACAAGAACAACAACAACAACAAUCUAGGAAAAUCAAAGGCAGCCCGACAUGGAAAAAAACACAAAAUGAAUAUUUGGAUUACAAAUAGUGUGAUGGGAAGAACACACUGCCAAAAGUCCACCUAGUAUGUUGAAAUUACUGUUUCUAGCACAUAUAAGAUUUGCUGCCAAUUUGUACUGACUUCUGAAAAAUACUUUAUCCAUUGUCUUCUUACAUCAGAAUCAACUCCCUAAAUUCUUCAGCACUGGCUUUGUAAACUGGUUUCUGGUCUUUGUUUCUGUCAACUUACCUAUAAAAGGAUACAAAAACUGAAGAACAGAGAGGAGCAGAUACCCUGGAAAGCCGAAAGUUUUAUUGACCAAAGACUGAGUCUCGGAAUGUUUUGAUUGUGGAGUUUAUAGAGUUCAGGCUGAAGUUUUAUAAAAAUAACUUGCAGCAGCAUGGAGGACUGAUGAGAAAGUAGACAGAUGCUGGAAGCAGGAAAACUGAACAGCAGGUCACUGGCCAAGGAGAAUCAAAGAGCUAGAUGCUGAGAAUAAUGCAGCCAUAACGUGAAAUCUUUUUGAGACCACUCACUCUGGGAGAAAGCAACUGGCUAUGUCAUGAGGAAAUUGAAACCACCUAUGGAGAAAGGCCCACAUGAAUUCUGUAAGUCUGCUACGGUGACAUUUCUGGUUAGGAGUCAGAGUGGAUGGGACACUGAGCAAUAAGAAUGCAGAGACAUGAUGGCUGAAGCUGGAGCUUUUCCCUGAAGCAACCACCUGUUGGAAACUUCAUGUUGAAGAUGACUGAAUAAUAAGACAGAGGGGUCUGGGUCCCUGGUGGAUAUUCCAGAUCUGGGUGUUCGUGGAGAUAUGAGAAAGCAAUAAACUUCAAUUUUGCUUAAAUAGCUGUUACUUGGGGCAUUCUGUCAUUUAUGGACAAAUCUGACCUGGAUUAAUACACCUCCAGCUGGGUACCAAGACUGAUCUAAUAGUCAAAAAGGUUUCAUUCCAUCUAGAUAUUUCUCUAGAACAGGACCUAAAGAAGUUCUUUGACUGAAUUUCUUAUGGAAGUAAUAGGAGAGUUCCUUGUGCUUCAUUAAAUGCUGUAUUGGUAAAUAUAUAUGGUUUACCAUUACAUGCAAAUAUAAUAAGCUAUAAAUCAUUGGAUUCUGAUAUUUUUAGUUUAGUCUCACUAAUGAACUGCUAAGAAAUCUUGGAUAACAUAUCUAGAAUAAUACUCUCUCUUUCCAAUAUGGUAUGGAUCCUUCUGUGUCCUGGGUUGUUGGUCUCAUCCAUAUAUCCUUAAGUGUCUGGUCAGCAUGACUGUCAAAGGUUUACUUUGGGAUCUACAGAGAAUUCUUAGUCUUUGAUCAUUAACGUGAGGACUGGCCCACCAAAACUGAAGCUCUGACUGACUUGAGUGUACUCUCAGCACCUUUCACUUUGCUGCCUGUAUUCUCUGCAUAUGUGAUAGAAAAUAUAAUUUUAAAGUCUGUGUGGAAAAAAGUAUUUCUACUGGAAAUCCAAACUGAAAUUUGAUCCUUCCUUUUUUCAGUUCAUAAUAUUUUCUUUGUAAGAUCACGUACCAUUUCCUGGCUCCAGAAGCUGGAGGAGGUGACUGUUACAGCUUAGUCAUUUUGUCAGAGGCGUUUGAACCAGAGUAACUCCAUCUUGAAUAGGGGCUGGGCAAAAUGAGGCUGAGACCUACUGGGCUGCAUUCCCAGACAGUAAAGGCAUUCUAAGUCACAGGAUGAAAUAGUAGGUCGGCACAAGAUACAGACCAUAAAGACCUCACUGAUAAAAUGGGUUGCAAUAAAGAAGCCAGCUAAACCCCACCAAAACCAAGAUGACCAUGAGAGUGACCUCAGGUGGCCCUCACUGCUACACUCCCACCAGCGCUCUGACAGUUUACAAAUGCCAUGGCAACAUUGGGAAGUUACCCUAUAUGGUCUAAAAAGGGGAGGCAUUAAUAAUCCACACCUUGUUUAGCAUAUCAUUAAGAAAACCAUAAAAAUGGGCAACCAGCAGCCCUCUGGGCUGCUCUAAGGAGUAGCCAUUCUUUAUUCCUUUACUUUCUUAAUAAACUUGCUUUCACUUUACUCUGUGGACUCACCCUGAAUUCUUUCUUGCACAAGAUCCAAGAACUCUUGGGGUCUGGAUUGGUACCCCUUUUCUGUAACAUCUUCAUGCCAGCUAUAACGUGAAUAACACAAUGCAAGACAGUGGAUAAGCAAACUGUGAUUAUCUUCAAAUAAUAUCAGCUUUUAUCACUCACUAAUGAAUAUGCCCAAAACACACCCAAAAUGACAGGGUAGAAGAACCAAAAUUGGGGGCUUGGUACCCUUUAGUAUCUUUUAGUCAACGUGAUCUAUGAAGGUUACACUAGAAUAAGUAAGAGCUCAUUUACCGAUUUUGAUCUUUUUUCUUCUUUUGUUUUAAUGAAGUUCCAUUUGCAUUAUGUCAUCCCUGUAUCAGUUCAAUUUGGCCUGGACAAAGGACAUUGUAUACCCUUAGGAUGGGUUGGCCAGGAGGACCAGAUUCUGGCAAGGUAGUACACUUGACAGAGACUACUAAAGAACAUGCAACCUGGGGCACAGAGUGGAGUGGAACCUUGGCAGUAGAAGUAUUAGGGACAACUGUGACUGUGCAUCCUCUCCCAGCUACAGCAGUGCCUUCUUAUAUAUGAUGUUUGCUAGAAAUACUCUUUGCCACAAAGAAUGACAGUGGUGCUAAAAUCAGGAAGUGGGAGCAAAGGGACCAAAAAGACUUUGUGGUUAGAGACAAGAUUGCCCAUAGUGUAGAAAUGUGAGGCUGGCAAACUUUCCCCACAUCUCUGAAUCUGACUUAAGUCUUUUUCUUUCUGGUCAUGGGUAAUUUUGUUUACUCCUAAAAUACAAUACUCGAUCCUUUAUUGCAUGCCAUAGCUAAGUAUGGUUGUAUCUGUGGGAAUGGUAAGCUUAUUGAGGGAAAGGAUCACGUUUGUGUUGCUAUUGAUGAAGUUUUUUUUUUCCCCGCUGAACGUAGCAUAGUGAUUCACACAGUCACUGCUGCUCAUUAAAAAUGUUCCAAAUGGAAGAAACAAUCCAAACAGGAAUUAGCAAUUAAAAAGCCUUGUUGUUAAGUGACAAUAAGAUUCAUGUGGACAGCAAUAAGGACCAUCAGGAGAACAUUUAAGUAAUGAAAUUAUGAUGUUCAUUUGCCUCUAGGGCCUCUAAAAGACAGAAAAGCCUGGCUCAUCUCCAUUUACUAAUGCAACCAGAAUAUUUUGAAAAAUACAUUUUAGAAAAGAGUGAUACAAAAUUGUGAUACAUUUCUAACCAUUUGACAAAUUAACACUUUGUUUUUAAACCCAAAUGUAGUGUAAUAUUAUUGUUAUUCAUACAAUAAUUAAAGGAUGUGUUAAAAUUAUUUAUUUAUAGUGCUUAAAAUGGGGUGGUGUUAUAAUGGGUCAUAAGUUUAAGAUUAAGAGUGACAUGUUUUAAUUUUAGUGUAUCUAUGCUGCUGUAGGUGUAACUGCCCAGUGGGUUCUUCCUGCCUGCUACGCAAACAAAAUCAAUUCACAGAGACCAUGGCAUUUCAGUAAAAGAAGAGUUUAAUUGACAUGAGGCCAGCCAUUGCUAUGUGGGAGAUGGAGUUAUUAUUCAAAUCAAUCUCUCCAAGAAUUUUAUGGCUAGAGUUUUUCAAAGGUAGUUUUGGCGAAAGGGUGGGGGUGGCGAGGCAAUAGGUGCUUGCUGCUGAUUGGCUGGGGGUGCAAUCACAGAGAUGUGGAAAUGGUCUUCCUGUGCACUGAGUUGCUUCUGGGUGGGGCCACAGAAGCUAGUUUUUGGUGGGUUUAGGUGGGGCCGUUGGUUAUGAAACAUGCAAAAAAACCUGAAAAGAUAUCUCAAAAGGCCAAUCAUAGGUUCUGCAGUAGUGAUGCUAUUUGCUGGAGUAAUUGGGGAAGUUGUAUAUUUUGUAAUCUCCAGAAUAAUGGCUAGCAAUCCUUUAUGUCUGCACCUUAGCAGAAUUCAGGCUCUUCUAUCCUCUUAGCCUGGUGGUCUUUCCUUUGCUUUACAAAAGCAGUUGAGUUUAUGGGAAGGACUAUUAUCACUUAAACUGUAAACUAAAUGUUUCCCAAAGUUAGCUUCGCCCAAGUCCAGGAAUAACUAAGGACAGCUUGAAGGGUUAAGGCAAAAGCUGGGUGGCUAGAUCGGAUCUCCCCCACUGCCAGUAUUUUCUUACUGAUACAAUUUUUACAAAGGUGGUUUCAUAGAUAUAACAUCACUAAUCUGAGGCUUUUCAAACAUUGAAAGCUCAAGCCAAAUGGCCCUUCUCAACUGCCUGUGACAGACCACUGUCUAUCUUAGAAGUGUUUAGUAGAAAUGUAUUAAAAAGAUGCUAAGGACACCCAAAAGACUAGCAAUUGAAGUUAUACAUUAUCCACUCACAUUUCAAAAGGAUUAUCUACUCAUCCUCUAUAAGGAGGGGAAAGAAUGUGCUAGGUUUCACAAAUCAGACCCAAUGCUGAAAUUGCCCCAGUAACAUAUCUGAAAGCUCACAGGCUGUGAUUAGGAAAACAAUGUAGGAUCUAUUGAAUAUG